rnacentral:rRNA from 1 species
GACGAACGCUGGCGGCGUGCUUAACACAUGCAAGUCGAACGGAAAGGCCCUGCUUUUGUGGGGUGCUCGAGUGGCGAACGGGUGAGUAACACGUGAGUAACCUGCCCUUGACUUUGGGAUAACUUCAGGAAACUGGGGCUAAUACCGGAUAGGAGCUCCUGCUGCAUGGUGGGGGUUAGAAAGUUUCGGCGGUUGGGGAUGGACUCGCGGCUUAUCAGCUUGUUGGUGGGGUAGUGGCUUACCAAGGCUUUGACGGGUAGCCGGCCUGAGAGGGUGACCGGCCACAUUGGGACUGAGAUACGGCCCAGACUCCUACGGGAGGCAGCAGUGGGGAAUAUUGCAUAAUGGGCGGAAGCCUGAUGCAGCAACGCCGCGUGCGGGAUGACGGCCUUCGGGUUGUAAACCGCUUUCGCCUGUGACGAAGCGUGAGUGACGGUAAUGGGUAAAGAAGCACCGGCUAACUACGUG